AGAGUUUGAUCCUGGCUCAGAACGAACGCUGGCGGCGUGGAUAAGACAUGCUAGUCGAACGAGAGGUCCUUAGCUUGCUUUGGGCCUCUAGUGGCGGACGGGUGAGUAACACGUGAGUACCUGCCUGAAAGAUGGGGAUAGCCCGGGGAAACUCGGAUUAAUACCCAAUGGUGUCGCAAGACUAAAUGGUGCCUUCGGGUGCCGCUUUCAGAUGGGCUCGCGGCCUAUCAGCUAGUUGGAGGGGUAACGGCCCACCAAGGCGACGACGGGUAGCUGGUCUGAGAGGAUGACCAGUCACACUGGGAACUGAGACACGGUCCAGACACCUACGGGUGGCAGCAGUCGAGAAUCAUUCACAAUGGGCGAAAGCCUGAUGGUGCCACGCCGCGUGGAGGAUGAAGGUCUUAGGACUGUAAACUCCUGUCAUCAGAGAGUAAAGCACAGGCGUUAAUAGCGUCUUGUGCCUGAUAGUAUCUGAAGAGGAAGGGGCGGCUAACUCCGUGCCAGCAGCCGCGGUAACACGGAGGCCCCGAGCGUUGUUCGGAUUUACUGGGCGUAAAGAGUGCGUAGGCGGUUGGGUAAGUCAGAUGUGAAAGCCCGGGGCUCAACCUCGGAACUGCAUCCGAUACUGCCCGACUUGAGGGUUGGAGAGGAGACUGGAAUUCAUGGUGUAGCAGUGAAAUGCGUGGAUAUCAUGAGGAAGACCAAUGGCGAAGGCAGGUCUCUGGACAACUCCUGACGCUGAGAUACGAAGGCCAGGGUAGCGAAAAGGAUUAGAUACCCUUGUAGUCCUGGCAGUAAACGGUGUGCGCUUGGUGUGGGGGGAUUCGACCCCCUCCGUGCCGGAGCUAACGCGUUAAGCGCACCGCCUGGGGAGUACGGUCGCAAGAUUAAAACUCAAAGAAAUUGACGGGGACCCGCACAAGCGGUGGAGUAUGUGGCUUAAUUCGAUGCAACGCGAAGAACCUUACCUGGGUUUGACAUGCAUCUCUAAAGCUGUGAAAGCAGUGGAGUGUAGCAAUACACAAUUUGCACAGGUGCUGCAUGGCUGUCGUCAGCUCGUGUCGUGAGAUGUUGGGUUAAGUCCCGCAACGAGCGCAACCCCUGUCACUAGUUGCCAUCAUUAAGUUGGGGACUCUAGUGAGACUGCCCAGAUCAACUGGGAGGAAGGUGGGGACGACGUCAAGUCAGUAUGGCCUUUAUACCCAGGGCUGCACACGUACUACAAUGCCCAGCACAGUGUGAACCGAGACCGCGAGGUGGAGGAAAUCCCUAAAACUGGGCUCAGUUCGGAUUGGAGGCUGCAACUCGCCUCCAUGAAGUCGGAAUCGCUAGUAAUGGCUCAUCAGCUACGGAGCCGUGAAUACGUUCCCGGGUCUUGUACACACCGCCCGUCACAUCAUGGAAGCCGGUCGCGCCCGAAGUAUCUGUGCCAACGAAAGAGGCAGGGCCCUAAGGUGAGGCUGGUAACUGGGAUGAAGUCGUAACAAGGUAGCCGUAGGGGAACCUGCGGAUGGAUCACCUCCUU
rnacentral:rRNA from 1 species